GAUGAAUAACGUAGCGAAAUGCGAUACGUAAUGUGAAUUGCAGAAUUCAGUGAAUCAUCGAGUCUUUGAACGCACAUUGCGCCCCCUGGUAUUCCGGGGGGCAUGCCUGUCCGAGCGUCAUUGCUGCCCUCAAGCACGGCUUGUGUGUUGGGCCUCCGUCCUCCUCCCGGGGGACGGGCCCGAAAGGCAGCGGCGGCACCGCGUCCGGUCCUCGAGCGUAUGGGGCUUCAUCACCCGCUCUUGUAGGCCCGGCCGGCGCUUGCCGACACAUCAAUCUUUUUUCCAGGUUGACCUCGGAUCAGGUAGGGAUACCCGCUGAACUUAAGCAUAUCAAUAAGCGGAGGA
rnacentral:misc_RNA from 1 species